GUGCUUAUUUCAGCAGCAUAUAUACUAAAAUUGGAACAAUACAGGAGAUUAGCAUGACCCCUACAAGAGUGAUGACACAAUGUGAAAUUAGAAAUCAACUACAAGA